AUGCUUAGUACGGCGAGUGAGCGGCAAAAGCUCAAAUUUGAAAUCUGGUACCUUUGGUGCCCGAGUUAGUAAUUUGGAGAGUACCACUUUGGGACUGUACUUUGCCUAUGUUCCUUGGAACAGGACGUCAUGGAGGGUGAGAAUCCCGUGUGGCGAGGGUGUCAGUUCUUUGUAAAGGGUGCUCGAAGAGUCGAGUUGUUUGGGAAUGCAGCUCUAAGUGGGUGGUAAAUUCCAUCUAAAGCUAAAUACAGGCGAGAGACCGAUAGCGAACAAGUACAGUGAUGG
rnacentral:rRNA from 1 species